CCUUUUUAGUAUAUUAGUACACGUGACUUCCAAUCACACAGUCUCGACUCAUCCCGAGAAGAGGU
rnacentral:tRNA from 1 species